rnacentral:ncRNA from 1 species
UUCUUAUCCAGAGAGGUGGAGGGACUGGCCCUUUGAAACCUCGGCAGCGGGUUCUCCUUAUGAGAAUACUGUGCCAAUUCCUGCAAGCUUAAAAGCUUGGUAGAUAAGAA